GGGUUUAGCGGCGGACGGGUUAGUAACGCGUGGGAACGUGCCCUUCACUGCGGAAUAGUCCCGGGAAACUGGGUUUAAUACCGCAUACGCCCUUCGGGGGAAAGAUUUAUCGGUGAAGGAUCGGCCCGCGUUAGAUUAGGUAGUUGGUGGGGUAAUGGCCUACCAAGCCUACGAUCUAUAGCUGGUUUGAGAGGAUGAUCAGCAACACUGGGACUGAGACACGGCCCAGACUCCUACGGGAGGCAGCAGUGGGGAAUCUUCGGCAAUGGGCGCAAGCCUGACCGAGCCAUGCCGCGUGAGCGAUGAAGGCCUUAGGGUUGUAAAGCUCUUUCGCCAGGGAUGAUAAUGACAGUACCUGGUAAAGAAACCCCGGCUAACUCCGUGCCAGCAGCCGCGGUAAUACGGAGGGGGUUAGCGUUGUUCGGAAUUACUGGGCGUAAAGCGCACGUAGGCGGACUGGAAAGUUGGGGGUGAAAUCCCGGGGCUCAACCCCGGAACUGCCUUCAAAACUCCCAGUCUUGAGUUCGAGAGAGGUGA
rnacentral:rRNA from 1 species